AUUGAACGCUGGCGGCAGGCCUAACACAUGCAAGUCGAACGGUAGCACAGAGAGCUUGCUCUCGGGUGACGAGUGGCGGACGGGUGAGUAAUGUCUGGGAAACUGCCCGAUGGAGGGGGAUAACUACUGGAAACGGUAGCUAAUACCGCAUAACGUCGCAAGACCAAAGUGGGGGACCUUCGGGCCUCACACCAUCGGAUGUGCCCAGAUGGGAUUAGCUAGUAGGUGGGGUAAUGGCUCACCUAGGCGACGAUCCCUAGCUGGUCUGAGAGGAUGACCAGCCACACUGGAACUGAGACACGGUCAAGACUCCGACGGGAGGCAGCAGUGGGGAAUAUUGCACAAUGGGCGCAAGCCUGAUGCAGCCAUGCCGCGUGUAUGAAGAAGGCCUUCGGGUUGUAAAGUACUUUCAGCGGGGAGGAAGGCGGUGGAGUUAAUAACUUCACCGAUUGACGUUACCCGCAGAAGAAGCACCGGCUAACUCCGUGCCAGCCGCCGCGGUAA
rnacentral:rRNA from 1 species